CCUGCCUCAGCCUCCCGAGUAGCUGGGACUACAGGCAUGCGCUAAUUUUCGUAUUUUUAGUAGGAACGGGGUUUCACCAUGUUGGCCAGGCUGGUCUUGAACUCCUGACCUCAGGUGAUCCACCUGCCUUGGCCUCCCCACCUGGCCAUCCCCUUUGCCUUUUAAGUUCUGCAUAUUAUUAUUGAUUGCCAACUAAGAUUCUUUUCAUGUUAUGUAGCUUUUUAACACCAUGUAGUAAGAGGAAUAGUUAAGAAUCUUAGUAGGCAUCGAGGGACUGGCACUACCGG
rnacentral:lncRNA from 1 species